rnacentral:rRNA from 1 species
GAUGAACGCUGGCGGCGUGCCUAAUACAUGCAAGUCGAGCGAAUGGAUUAAGAGCUUGCUCUUAUGAAGUUAGCGGCGGACGGGUGAGUAACACGUGGGUAACCUGCCCAUAAGACUGGGAUAACUCCGGGAAACCGGGGCUAAUACCGGAUAACAUUUUGAACCGCAUGGUUCGAAAUUGAAAGGCGGCUUCGGCUGUCACUUAUGGAUGGACCCGCGUCGCAUUAGCUAGUUGGUGAGGUAACGGCUCACCAAGGCAACGAUGCGUAGCCGAACUGAGAGGGUGAUGGGCCACACUGGGACUGAGACACGGCCCAGACUCCUACGGGAGGCAGCAGUAGGGAAUCUUCCGCAAUGGACGAAAGUCUGACGGAGCAACGCCGCGUGAGUGAUGAAGGCUUUCGGGUCGUAAAAUUCUGUUGUUAGGGAAGAACAAGUGCUAGUUGAAUAAGCUGGCACCUUGACGGUACCUAACCAGAAAGCCACGGCUAACUACGUGCCAGCCGCCGCGGUAA